AGUUGACAUUGUCUUUGACUUGCUUUUAGUGACUGCUAGUACUCUUAGAUCUUCACUUUGUGUUUUUUUCUUGUCUUUUUGUUGUUUUAGUUAUGCUUUGUGCCGAUAUGAUGCCAUGAUUAUAGGAUAUUAAAACCUAUAAGUGAUUUUUCAAAUGUUAUGCGAACACAUCGAUAUCACUCCCAUGUUAGGAUUUGGGUUGUGGCAUAUUUAACCCUACCACAUUCUGUAUGUGCCUUUCUCAAGCAUGUAAGCCAACGACUGUCGUUAUUUGUUCUACAGCAUAUGUUUUUCGC
rnacentral:lncRNA from 1 species